rnacentral:rRNA from 1 species
UGGGGAAUAUUGCACAAUGGGCGGAAGCCUGAUGCAGCAACGCCGCGUGCGGGAUGACGGCCUUCGGGUUGUAAACCGCUUUCGCCUGUGACGAAGCGUGAGUGACGGUAAUGGGUAAAGAAGCACCGGCUAACUACGUGCCAGCAGCCGCGGUGAUACGUAGGGUGCGAGCGUUGUCCGGAUUUAUUGGGCGUAAAGGGCUCGUAGGUGGUUGAUCGCGUCGGAAGUGUAAUCUUGGGGCUUAACCCUGAGCGUGCUUUCGAUACGGGUUGACUUGAGGAAGGUAGGGGAGAAUGGAAUUCCUGGUGGAGCGGUGGAAUGCGCAGAUAUCAGGAGGAACACCAGUGGCGAAGGCGGUUCUCUGGGCCUUUCCUGACGCUGAGGAGCGAAAGCGUGGGGAGCGAACAGGCUUAGAUACCCUGGUAGUCCACGCUGUAAACGGUGGGUACUAGGUGUGGGGUCCAUUCCACGGGUUCCGUGCCGUAUCUAACGCUNGAAANACCCCGCCUGGGAG